rnacentral:tmRNA from 1 species
GGGGACGUAAUGGUUUCGACGGGGGCAGCUGAUGCAUGAGAAGCGAGCCGGGGGGUCAUCAACCCGUCAGUAAGGUGAAACUAACUUUUAUAAAUAUAAAAGCUAACGAAAAUUACGCUUUAGCAGCUUAAUGCUAACCUCUUUUGUUUCUUUUCCCGCAUGAAGCAAAAAGAGGACAAUAGCGGGAUACUUUAUAAUUAAUUCUCGGAAAUUAUAAAGGAAUUUUAUCGAGAUAGGUUAACAAGGGUUUGUUUGUGUAGCUUUAUUAACUAAAAUUAAAACACAAAAUGCGCUCGGAGAAACUUGUGCAGCAAUGUUUUCGGACAGGAGUUCGAUUCUCCUCGUCUCCACCA